rnacentral:rRNA from 23 species
AAAUUGAAGAGUUUGAUCAUGGCUCAGAUUGAACGCUGGCGGCAGGCCUAACACAUGCAAGUCGAACGGUAACAGGAAGCAGCUUGCUGCUUCGCUGACGAGUGGCGGACGGGUGAGUAAUGUCUGGGAAACUGCCUGAUGGAGGGGGAUAACUACUGGAAACGGUGGCUAAUACCGCAUAA